CCUGGAACCCUGGGUUGCUGUUCCAGGCUUUGAUCAGUGGCACCGGUGUUGGUGACCCUGGGAAAGAUAAUGCGUCCUCAGGCUGAGGUUUUGAGGCCUAAGAGUUUUCAGUUGCUUUAAUGCUGCCAAAAUCGUGAACAGAUUAGCAAUGGUUAAGCAAGCAUGAAACGCCGACUGACACACCUGAAGAAGGCUUAACAAAUGCAAAACAAUGUUUUUUUUUCCCUUUCUGCUCUUUAACAUGGAAAUAACUUUACUCGUUCCUAACGCAAAGUCCUGGUCAAAUAAACCCAUCUUCAUUAA